UUACUUACUCCGUGAAUCGGAG
rnacentral:snRNA from 1 species